CUCUAUCUCUUAAGAGUUAUCAUUAUUAUUGGAACGAUACAGAGAAGGUUAGCAUGGCCCCAUGCGCAAGGAUAACACGCAGAUUCGUGAAGCGUUCCAUAUUUUU